CAUCGAUGAAGAACGUAGCGAAAUGCGAUACCUGGUGUGAAUUGCAGAAUCCCGCGAACCAUCGAGUCUUUGAACGCAAGUUGCGCCCGAGGCCACUCGGCCGAGGGCACGCCUGCCUGGGCGUCA
rnacentral:rRNA from 1 species